GGAAACCCAGUGUGAUUCGUCACACUAUCAUUAACUGAAUCCAUAGGUUAAUGAGGCGAACCGGGGGAACUGAAACAUCUAAGUACCCCGAGGAAAAGAAAUCAACCGAGAUUCCCCCAGUAGCGGCGAGCGAACGGGGAGGAGCCCAGAGCCUGAAUCAGCAUGUGUGUUAGUGGAAGCGUCUGGAAAGGCGCGCGAUACAGGGUGACAGCCCCGUACACAAAAGCGCAUGUGCUGUGAGCUCGAUGAGUAGGGCGGGACACGUGGUAUCCUGUCUGAAUAUGGGGGGACCAUCCUCCAAGGCUAAAUACUCCUGACUGACCGAUAGUGAACCAGUACCGUGAGGGAAAGGCGAAAAGAACCCCGGCGAGGGGAGUGAAAAAGAACCUGAAACCGUGUACGUACAAGCAGUGGGAGCCCCACCACUAAGCCAGUGGUGAACUCCACAUCCGCAUCCUUUGCUGAGGAUACGGUUAACGGAGCGAAAGCGACGUUCAACCGCAAAACAAGCAGAGGGGGCUUAGUGGUGGGGUGACUGCGUACCUUUUGUAUAAUGGGUCAGCGACUUAUAUUCUGUAGCAAGGUUAACCGAAUAGGGGAGCCGGAGGGAAACCGAGUCUUAAUUGGGCGUUAAGUUGCAGGGUAUAGACCCGAAACCCGGUGAUCUAGCCAUGGGCAGGUUGAAGGUUGGGUAACACUAACUGGAGGACCGAACCGACUAAUGUUGAAAAAUUAGCGGAUGACCUGUGGCUGGGGGUGAAAGGCCAAUCAAACCGGGAGAUAGCUGGUUCUCCCCGAAAGCUAUUUAGGUAGCGCCUCGUGAAUUCAUCUCCGGGGGUAGAGCACUGUUUCGGCUAGGGGGCCAUCCCGGCUUACCAACCCGAUGCAAACUGCGAAUACCGGAGAAUGUUAUCACGGGAGACACACGGCGGGUGCUAACGUCCGUCGUGAAGAGGGAAACAACCCAGACCGCCAGCUAAGGUCCCAAAGUCAUGGUUAAGUGGGAAACGAUGUGGGAAGGCCCAGACAGCCAGGAUGUUGGCUUAGAAGCAGCCAUCAUUUAAAGAAAGCGUAAUAGCUCACUGGUCGAGUCGGCCUGCGCGGAAGAUGUAACGGGGCUAAACCAU
rnacentral:rRNA from 1 species